rnacentral:lncRNA from 1 species
AAAAAAAAAAAAAAAAAAAUGAUGCCAUUUAAAUAAAAAAAUAUGAACGAUACGGAUGAGCAAGUUGAAAAUUUGUUCAAAGAAAAACUAACCAAAGAGGUACAUAAAUUAAAGGGUUAUAAAAUUAUUCAAAAUGUAUUAUUAUUAUUUGGGGAAAGGUAUAAAAUCUUAGAGUCAAAACAAGGAACAUCAAAAAUAGGGGGACAAUUAUAUAACUUAAUUGAAUCAAAAUAUAUAAAUAAAAUAUUGUAUGAGGUUCUUGUUCGCAAUAGAAACGUCAAUUUGUUUGUAAGUACUACUAAUAACAUAUGUUGCAGUGUUUUCCCAUGUCGUGUAAAUAAAAUUAUACAAAUAAAAAAAAUAAAUAAAAAUAAUGAUUAUAAUAGCAGUAGUAGUAACUAUAAAUUAAAUAAAACUCAAAUAAUUGUACAUUUUAAAAACAUUUAUAAUGAAUUUUCAUUUUAUUUUUUAAACAAAAAGAAAUAUUUUGUCAUUUAUUAUAAAAUCACACACUAUGUAAGCACUGAUGAAUUGGCAAAAUAUGACAAAAACAUUAGUGCGUUGACACUUGCCGUGUUUUCGUAUGAGUCUGUUAGAGGUAAUCAUACGUGGAGUAGUAAUAGUAGGAGUAGUAGUAGUAGGCACGUGUUAAAAAACAAUAAUAAUAAUAAUAAUAAUAAUAAUAACAAUAAUAGUAAUAAUAAUAAUAAUAAUAACGAAUUGGAGCACUAUAUAAUAUAUAAGAAUGAAAAAAAAAAAGUAUAUAAGCGACUAAACAAGAGUAGUUUGUUUAAAAGGAUAAUGGCGAAAGUGAAAGUGAAAGGUCAUGGUAACGGGAUUAAAAUAGGUGAACAAAAGGAUACAGUAUGUGUUAGGAGAAAGGGGAGAGCAAGUAUUGGUGGUGGAAGUAGUUGCAAUAACAACAAUGGCAAUAACUUUUUAGAAAAAGAAAAAAAUUGUAAAAACCUUUUAUACAGUUACACAAAAAUUAAAAAUGCACCAACAAAAAAGUUUGUUGAUCAUUAUAUUUUAUUAACUAAUUAUAUACAUAGUAAUAAAAUGUCAUAUUUUUGUUUUAUAAACACUUUUAAAAAGGAAUUACAAAAGUAUAUAUCGUCACAUAGGCAUGACUUAUCCAUCCAAAGUGUGUUAAAUCGACUCAGUGUUAUACUAAAUAACAAAAAGGAGCAAAAUCAAAACGUACAUAAUAUAAAAAAAAAUGUAAAAAAAUGGCUAGGUCACAACAAUAACGGUCACGUGCUAUUAUAUAAUACAAACCAAUUCUCUAGCUUAUUUAAUUACCAUAACUAUUUAAAGAGUGAUAAAAUAAAAAAGCCAACAAGUAGACAUAACAUAACAGUUUUUAAUAGUGAAAAGAAUUUAAAAAAAAAAAAAAAAAAAAUAGUCACUAUAUCAAAAUUUAUUCUUCCUAUUCAAAAAAAAAAAUUUAAUUUAUAUUCGUUAUUUAUGAAACAGUUUUCGCUUAAAAAAAAAGAUUAUUACAACAAAAAAAUUAACCAAAAGAAGAACAAAGUUAACGAAAAUGAUCAUAUAAAUAGCAUAAAAAAGUUUUAUACAAAGAUUAUUGAUUUAAUAGAGAGAAAAAAAUAUAGUGAUGAUAAUAAUGUUGCUUUUUCUAUAUACAGUAACACCUUAAAAAAAGGGAAAAAAAUAUUUUUAACUUUUAAUAAUUUAAAUAAAUGUUUUUUUAUUUUUAUGUAUCCAUUUUUAUUAUAUUUUAAUAAAUACAAUUGGUGGGAUAUUUUAAAUAUAUGUGGAAAUAAAAAUAAUAUUAUUACUAUGUCAAAAAAUUAUUAUUUUAUUAUAAAAUUUUUAAUUGAAUUUUAUAUUUUUAUUCGUGUUAUGUAUGAAAAAAAAAAAAAAUAUGUCAAAAAAUUACAGUUGUAUCUUUCAAAUAGGACGUUAAUUGGAUACACAAAUUAUAACAUAUUUAAAAAACAAAAACAUGUAAAAAAACAAAAAUAUUUAUAUAAAUACACUUUCCAUAGUGUUGUAAAUAAUUUUUUUUUUUUUCCACAACAGCAAUAUCUAUUAAAUAUAAAAUUGUUUACAAAAAUUAAAAAAAUUCUGUUAAAUUGUAAUCAUUUUAAUAAACAUGUUUACUUCGAAUUUAAAAAAAUAAAACUAGAACAAAAUUGCACAAGCAUCACGGAUUUGUUGUCAUGGAUUAACAGUUUUAAACGUGACAUUUUUUUAAUGAAAAGGAAUGAGGAAAAAUGGGUAUAUUUUUUAAAAAAUGAGAAAAUAGAGCCAUCAAAAGGAUGGAGCACACUUUGCAAUAGCACACGACACUAUAGUAGCAGUCACUACGGUGCAAUUACAGAUAUACAUAACAACACACAAGAAAAAACAAAUAAACAGUUAUUAGUAGUUUUCAAAAUCGAAUCGUAUAAAGAAAAAAUAUUAAAGAUAGCUAAAAACAUAUGUAUAUAUUUACUACAACUUUUUAAUAACUUGAAAAAAAAAAUACCUAUUUUGGAAAUAGUCUACAUGUUUAAACAAGUUAAUCUUCUUAUUGAAAAUUUUCCAUAUAUUUAUAUAUGUCAUAUAAAAAAAAAAAAUAUUAAAAUAAAAUACUUGUUUUAUAAAAAAUAUAUUCAUAGUAGCACUAAUGUUAUGCAUCUUUUUAAAAGUUCUAUGAAAAAUACACAUAAAGAAAUAUUACAGCUAGUAAAAAAAAAAAAAAAAAAAAUUUUUAAAAGCGUUUUUUUUGAAAAACCCGAAUUUUUUUUUUUAUUAAAAGUUCAAAAGUUAAUGUUAUAUUUUUAUUUAUAUUUGUUUACAAAAUUUUGUUCAAAAAUGGGUUGUCACUGUUUCGGUGGUAGUACUAGUGCUACUAAAAAAAACGAAACGUUUAAAACCAAAGGGAAAAAAAAAGAAAUGCUUAAAAAUGUUACUUAUAAGAAAAAACGCAUAUAUAAUAACCGGUUCGACACAUUUACUAAACAUGUUAAAAAAGAAAAAAGUGAAAUUUAUUUUUUUUUUCGAAAACAUAAAAAAAGCUGCUUUUUACAUAACGGAAGAAAAAAAAAAAAAAAUUAUGAACGUUCAGAAAAUUGUAACGAUUUGAGAGCUAUCCAAAAAGAAAUAAAAAAAAAAAAAAAAAAAAAAAAAAAUACAAACACUUUUAUUUUAAAAAGAGUAAGUAUCAAUGAACAUUAUUUGGUAGAAAAAGCAAAAAAAAUAAUAAAUAAAAAAAAAGGAAGAAAUAAUCAAGGAGAAAAUGUUAAGAAAAUUGGUACAGACACAAAACAUACUUUUGUAAAGGGUCAACAAAUAGACAUUAAUAAAAAGCCAAGUGAAAAUCUAAAUAAAAAAGAAAAAUUUAUAAAAAAUGAAGAAAAAUAUUUCACCUUUUUUAAAUUGAACAUGAUAAAAAAAAUAGUUUCCAAAUGUAACGAUUGGCUAGUUGACAAAAUAGAAAAAGGAAUUAAGGAAAAACAAAAGUUUUUUUUUUAUUUUUUAAACGUAAAUGCACAUAAAAUUCGACUACUUGAAAUUGUGAGCAUGUUACAACAUGCGGCGAAAGAUGUUAUGGAUUUUAUGCACAUGAUGCUGGAGGAUAACACGAUGUUAAGUUUGGAUAAAAACGAUGGUACAAGUUGUGACAACACGAUCGUAAAUAAUAACGAAAACGAAAAUUUUGACAAUACUUACAGUAGU